UUUGCCGCUCGUUUAACUCGAGAUACUCAACACCAUUCGAGUCUACACGGAGGCGGACGUCUCCCCACCUAACAAAAUACAAGAAUCUUAAUUUAAUGUCAGAUAUGAACAAUAAUGAAAUACAGCAUUUAAGUUGAAGCGGAUGUACUUAGUGAAUGGGGUGAAAAAAUACUGAGAAAAAUUGAUACAUAUUUUGUGUGUUUGUGUGUAAAAAUGUUUCUUACCGCAAAUUGUAUUGCUCCGUUGUACCUCGCAAGCCAAAAUGAAGGCAGUUGUUCAACCAGACUGUAUUUAACAAGGCUUUCGGAGACUCCGUGCCAAGGAUCCCCUUCUCCCAGAGCAGAUCGAUGUCGGUAUCACUCAGCGGAUGGGCCUCCCUAGGACGGUUUCCCAUACCCUAAAUUGGUGUCCCUUGUGAGUGCAAAUUGGGCUCCAGUCCCUGUCAUGACUGAACAUCCAUAGCGAUGUCGUUUCAGGUACCUGUCAACACUAGCAAUGAUGCCACGGAGGGAGCUUGGUUCAAAAUCUGUGCCAUUUGACUUUUUAAGGGACAACAGGAAAGUGGCCAAAUACUCAUCAAGAAGAGUUGGUUCUAUGUGGUGGAUUUCUUUUGAUUCAGCUUUUGACAUAAGAAACCUUUUAAAUUUGUUUAUGUCAGACAAGGUCUUCGAUACAGUCUUUUUAUUUUCAUUUUGGACAAUGAAAUCACCAACAUCAGUGAGGUUAACAUCUAAGAACUCUUUAUUCUCAUGCAGAUCUAAAGUUGGGGGGAAGACAUUGCUACUGGAUGGUGCGUUACUACUGGGGCUGGUUUCAUUUUCAAUGGUCGAUUCAAUUUCAUUUGUGAACAAAAUAGAUGGAUCAAACCCAUAUUGUUCCUGGAACUGGCUUAGUGUUAAUUCCACUUCAGUUGCUUGUUGCUCAUGUUCAUUAUUUAAUUCAUCCCAAGUUAAUGAGAAAUUGACUUUGUCAAAUUCGUCAGACAUUUUGAGGGGUUUACGAUUUCGCAGACGAUUGUGUUCUAUAGUCAAAGGGGAGCAACUCGAACUGACUUCUUCAAAGGGGAGCAACAACAACAGAACCUAUUUGCAACAUAGUGUUAAAUUUACAUAAUACUAGAGGUUUUAAUAAAAAUAAAUGACAAAAAACACG